ACUCAAAGGAAUUGACGGGGACCCGCACAAGCGGUGGAGCGUGUUGUUUAAUUCGAUGGUAAGCGAAGAACCUUACCCAGGCUUGACAUCCUGCUAAUUUCUCCGAAAGGAGAGAGUGCCUUCGGGCCGCAGUGACAGGUGAUGCAUGGCCGUCGUCAGCUCGUGUCGUGAGAUGUUUGGUUAAGUCCAUCAACGAGCGCAACCCUUAUAGUUAGUUGUAUUUUUCUAGCUAGACUGCCCUGGCAACAGGGAGGAAGGAGGGGAUGAUGUCAGGUCAGUAUUUCCCUUACGUCUGGGGCUACAAACACGCUACAAUGGCCGGUACAAAGGGCAGCCAAGUCGCGAGACGGAGCAAAUCCCAUCAAAGCCGGUCUCAGUUCGGAUUGCAGGCUGAAACUCGCCUGCAUGAAGCCGGAAUCGCUAGUAACGGUAGGUCAGCACACUACCGUGAAUACGUUCCCGGGUCUUGUACACACCGCCCGU
rnacentral:rRNA from 1 species